rnacentral:rRNA from 1 species
UGCGCCAUUUGAUGAACCCAUAUGGGAUUAGCUAGUAGGUGAGGUAAUGGCUCACCUAGGCGACGAUCUCUAGCUGGUCUGAGAGGAUGACCAGCCACACUGGGACUGAGACACGGCCCANACUCCUACGGGAGGCAGCAGUGGGGAAUAUUGCACAAUGGGGGAAACCCUGAUGCANCCAUGCCGCGUGUAUGAARAAGGCCUUCGGGUUGUAAAGUACUUUCGGUAGCGAGGAAGGGGUUAUAUCUAAUAGGUGUAACCAUUGACGUUAACUACAGAARAAGCACCGGCUAACUCCGUGCCAGCAGCCGCGGUAAUACGGAGGGUGCGAGCGUUAAUCGGAAUGACUGGGCGUAAAGGGCAUGUAGGCGGAUAGUUAANUUAGGUGUGAAAGCCCCGGGCUCAACCUGGGAAUUGCAUUUAAAACUGGUUAUCUGGA